CAAUGACAGACUUGGACAAACAUAACUUCAAGACUAUUGGUGAGAUAUUUGCCGUUAGCAUCGCACAGGGUGGUCCCCCACCAAACUUUUUUUGCAGUGGUGUUACAAGUACAUUUCCACUGGAGAAAUGGAUCAGGAAGCAAUAACUGAAAGGGAUGUAACAGACCCUGAACUGAUUGAGCUAAUUAAAGAGAUUCAGGCAGCUGACAACACAACCCUGAUGGAAUGUACAGACAGGAUUUUGUCAUGUGGAUACGAAGGGGCUGUGUCUAU